GACGUAGGGCGCGAGCGUUGUCCGGAUUUAUUGGGCGUAAAGAGCUCGUAGGCGGCUUGUCGCGUCGACUGUGAAAACCCGUGGCUCAACCAUGUGGUCUGCAGUCGAUACGGGCAGGCUAGAAUUCGGUAGGGGAGACGUGGAAUUCCUGGUGUAGCGGUGAAAUGCGUAGAUAUCUGGAGGAACACCGGUGGCGAAGGCGGCAUCCUGGACCGAUAUUGACGCUGAUGCGCGAAAGCCAGGGGAGCGAACGGG
rnacentral:rRNA from 1 species